rnacentral:misc_RNA from 1 species
GUUUCGUCUCGAACACUGAAAAAGACGGCUUCUUUUUGUCGCCGGCUAAGAAAGAGGCGGCUAGAAUGGGCGUCCUACGAUCUAGUUACUACCAUAGGUAGCGCUAGUCAUAGACGGGUGCUUCCUGAAGAGCUGUGAGCCAAACGAUUACGUCUUCCGAGGGUGUCGGAUAGGCGAAAUCAGGCCAUAGUCUCCAGGGGGGCAUCUAAAUCCCAGGGAGGAAUUUAUUUUGUUUACAGGGGGGUGUGCGUUAACCAUGCCCAGGUUCCAAGCAUGCUAUGAACUCAGGGACAGAGUCUCAUAGGGAGUGCCCCGGAAAACCCGUGUCUACUGACGAUUUUCGUCUUUAGACACGACGCUACAACCCAGUCAGUUUCAAACCAACUUGCAAUCACCCUUCGCGUCCCAAGAGGGGAGUCUGAUUGCACAGAGACGAAACCAGACUAGCGUCACUCAC